GUGCUUAUUUCACUGUCUAACCCUGCCCAGGCCCCGGGGAGAAGCCUGGUAUUCUUCGUGUUUAUUUAAUUGUCAACUCUCUGUGUUCUAAGACGAUACCCUGGCCUUGACUCAGUACAACCUAGGACUGUAAGUCCCAUCAUGUCUAUGGACUUCAGUUUCCAGACAUGAAACACAAGAGGCUUGGACGAGAUUAGAAAUCAAGAACUCGAAUGCGUAUGGUCAGAGCCACGAGUGCUGGAAGUGGAGCUUGUCGGGAGGUGUUUGGAUCAUGGGGGCGGAUCCCUCAUGACUUGGUGCUGUCUUUGUUAUCAGUUUCCAUAAAGGAACACAACCAUGUGGACAACUUGAUUAUGCCCUACAAAACUGAAUUCCUGUGAGCAUUCCUCUUCAAGAUGGAAGAAAAAGGGAAUAUUUCACAACCCCAAUGGUGAAACGUCUGCCUAUAGCCAACAAUACAAUCUCCAUCCAUGUAUGAUGUGACUUGCUCCUACAUGCCUUCCACCAUGAUUAUGAGGGACUUUGAUUUUCAUUGCUAGGUGCUCAGCACUGAAUAGAAAGCCUGGCGCAUGGUCUAUUGGUGAGAGAAGAAAGGUCAAGUAUGAACACAAUGGAUACCCCGGAAUCUAGGCCUUCAUUAGCAUUUUCUAGCUUUGGGGGUCAUGUAAGGACACUUUUUUAAGGAUAGACUAAACAGGUGGUUAGCCUUUGUAAUCAAAUGUCUUCAUAUUUUCAUCACUAAUACAAUAUCUUCAGGGCAUCUUUGGACACUGAAACAUCUCUCUUUCUCCCUUACAUAUCUCCUCUGCCUUUCCAAAGGAAUAAAAAGUACAUAGGAUGUUACUGACUUUCUAAGUCUCUCUUUUUUGCCUAUAAAAGAUGUACUUUACUUUUUCCAGCUUUAUUGAAGUAUAAUCGUCAAAUAAAAAUUGUAUAUAUUCAAAGUAUACAAUGUGAUGAUUUGAUGUAUUCAUACAUUGUAUAAUGAUUACCACAACCUAUACUAUUUCGUUUAUCUUCUUUUCUUUCUUUUUUUUUUUUCUUUUCUUUUUAUUUUUUGAGAUAGAGUCUCACUCUGUCACCCAGGUUGGUCUUGAACUCCUGGCCUAAAGCAAUCCUUCCACCUCAUCCUCCCAAAGUGCUGGGAUUACAGAUGAAAGCAACCUCACUCAGCUGUUUCUUAGACAUAGUAAGAGUUCUCAGUUCUUCAGUUUAUCUUAUGGCCAAAAUUGAAAGGAAGAUUAAAAAUAGUGUUACAUCUAUAUCUGUAAGCUUUUUUCAAUGAAAUUAGAGAAGAAAAAAGUAGUGGUAGAGUUCACAGAUAUAAAUACUCGAACACAUUUAAAGUUAUGGUUGACGGAUAAGUUACUUUACAAUAACAUAUGGGAUGUACAACAGUGAAUAAAAUAUUCUCUUAUUUUUCACUAGAAUCAUGAGUUUACAUUGCAAGUAUUUUUAACAUUUUGUAAUGUUUAGAAAUAUUGUCAUUGUUUCUCAAGUUUAAAAGAUAUUUAUGAUAUUAAAAGUAAAAGCACUGACUAUAGUAAAUAUAGCACAGUGAUAGACAUAUUAGUAAGUUAUAUGUUUUUCUGAAACUAGCAUUAACUUUAGUUAUAUGUUGAAAUGAAACUAAAUGGCAAUGGUUGCAAUUUUUUAUGAUUUGUGCUCCGGGUACCUCCAGGAAGAGUCAUUGCUUAUUAACUAACAGCUAGAUAUUGCUGAAGUUAUGGCUGUUUACUAAUGAAGCAAAGUUAUUUUGCUGCGACUGACUUUUAUUGAAGAAAAGUCUCAGGGUCAUAUCUGCUAUGGGUUAAAACUGACAGAGAUUAGUUUAAAUUCAUUCAGCAGUUCAGCAGAGAUGACGAUGGUCAGGAAGGUGGUAGUCAUAAUUUAUUUGUACUCUGAAAAUGUUCUGACCUUAUUUGCUUUCCAAGCUAUGAAUGGAUGAUUUCUAAAUGGCUCAACAUUCAGGAUGUGUGCUGGCAAAUAAAAUCCCAUAACACAAGAGGAAUAAUGUGGCAGGGGAAGUUUAAAGCCAAUGUCCACGGCAGGAAAUCUCUACAAGAAGUUGCAUUUUUCAUAUUCAUAUUUAAAUUUGUUUCCUCCCUGCCCUCCCUCUUUGCUUCUUCCUUCCUCCUUUCUUUUCCCUCUUUAUUUGUUCUAUCUGGCAACUAACUUAGUCUUAGAAAUGAUUUAUUUUUGUAAACAGUAUGCAAGAAUGAUUUCCACUUUAAAUAAAUCCACAUUUCCAAGAUAAGAACCACAAAAGAAUGGACUCUAGACAGCCUGUGAAAAAGAACUUACAUUUUAUUUUUCAUUUAGUUAGUCAGCUUUACUUCUGUUUUCUUGUACACUAAAUCUUAUGGCCAUCUAUAAACAAAAUGGUAAAAUAAGUAAAGUUUGCUUUAUUUCUCCCUUCCUUUUAGCUCUUUUUCACAAUUUUUUAGCUCCCUUCUCUGAUACUAAGUACCUAAGGACCUUUCCUGCCUCUCCUUAUUUCAGUAUUUAAAUUAAAGCUUUCCUCUGUAGAAUAUGAUUCUAUGGCACUCUCACAUGACAAAAUUGAAAGGUUACCUGUUGAUGGGGCAUAUAGCUUUAAGAAUACUGUCACCUGCAUGAUCACAUGGAAUGUUCUGUAGUAAAGGCGUUGUUACCUGCAUUACAUAAAGAAAUAUGGUUUGGAAAGGUUAAGUGACAUAACCAAUACCAAUCAGUUAGUAAAUGACCAAGGUAGAACAAAAACUCAGGUCUUCUGACUCAUACUUCAACAUUCUCCCAAUGGCAUUACAUUGGAAAGAAACUGGUUAGUUAAUUCAAAUGUGACGUUUAUGUAUGAUAGAAACUUCCUUUACUAUUUAUCCCAGAGUAUAUUACAUUGUGGACAAUUUCUAAACCAAGUCAAGUUUAUGAACUGGUAGAAGACUAUUACAUAGUAGAGUUUUAAUUGCUAGCAAGAGAGUAUUGGCAGGAGAAAUAUUGUCACAAGGGUCAUCUUAGUAUUCUUCUGGUCACCAGACACUAUCUACUAACUUUACCUGCACAUAAAACAGAGCUUUGCAAAUCUGAUAACUUGCUUACCCAUUUAUUAAAUAGAAAACUCUAUAAUUAUUUUUUAUCACUCAAAUAUUGGCAACAGACAUAAACAGGAAAACUCUAUGCAUAGCAAAACUAUUUAGAGCACAGGCUUUGAAAUCAGACAGAAUUGGGUUGAAGUUCUGACUCUGUAUCUUACUAGUUUUAUUACUGAGGUUUGGUUAAUUAACCUCUCACUGUUCUUAUUUGCCUCAAUGGGAAAUAGGAAUGACCAAGUCUAAUACUCAGCUGUAUGCCCCAUAUGGCUCUAUUGGUUGCUAAAUCCUCAAAUAUUUAAAAGGCAUAAUGACACUUAAAAAGUUGUACCACUUUUCAGAUGACUACUGUGUUAAUCUGUACUCACAUUGCUAUAAGGAAAUACCCAAGACUGGGUAAUUUAUUUAAAAAAGAGGUUUAACUGACUCACAGUUCUGCAUGGCUGGGGAGGCCUCAGGAAACUCACGAUCAUGUUGGAAGAUAACUCUUCACAGGGUGAGAGAGAAUGAGUGCCUAGCAAGAGCGAAGGGGGAACUCCCUUAUAAAACUAUCAAAUGUAGUGAGAACUCACUCACUAUCUCGAGAGCACCAUGGGGGAAACCGCCCCCAUGAUUCAAUUAUCUCUACCUACCCUUGAAACCGGGGGAUUAUUACAAUUCAAGGUGAGAUUUGGGUGGGGACACAGAGUCAAACCAUAUCAACUACUUUAUCUCAGCAUAAUCAUUUUUCUGUCCCACAAUUUACUAAAUGAAUACUCUCUAUGAAGAAAAAUGUUAACACUUCAGUUUCAGGCAAAGAGACAGAAGUUUACCAAUUUAUUCAAGACAUCAGCUUUUGGUCAGAGAUUAUCAUACAAAACAAUUUUCAGUUAUAAACUGUGUUAGUAUGCUUGCUUUGUAUUCUUAUACCAGGUGAGAGGUAUGAAGAAGUAGGUACUUUUAUGACAUUUCAAUCUGUUGUGAGCAUGCCCUAGUUUCAUGAAUUUCCAAGGGAUCUCAGGUUUAGUAUCUUUACGUGUGUGCUACAGGUAUUUUCCCUUUGUGUUAUAACCAUUUUUAAGUGCAGUUUGAGUGCACAAUAAUCAUGUACCUCCCAAAAUGUUUGAAAGUCAGUCAUUUGGAUUUUCCUUUAUUUAUUUCCUUCCCCAGUAUGAGUCUUUAGUACUUUUAUCCACCUACCUCCACCUGCUAUUGACACUUCUCUUCUUCCUUUGGUCAACGUGAUAAGCUUACGUGAUAUUGGCUUGUUUUUGAUUGUUCAUUUUUUUUCUGUCUUUGAAAAUUAUUUGAGUGUCUUAGGUCAGAGUGAAAUGCAUCAUAAUUUUUUCCCAUUAAAAUUAAUGGAAAUUUAGAGAAGAUUAUUUAACAGCUGUGCAACUAAUGACAGCUAAUUGCACAAACACAUUAAAAUUAUUUCAUAAGGGAUAGCAGUUGGUAAAUAAUUAUUGCUCUGAAUCCUCUAAGUGCCCCACCCCAAAAACCUGGUCACCUGAGUGCUCCUCUAGAAUGCCCUGCCCAGAAUUUCCCCUACCUAGCAAUGAAAAAGGCAGGAUUAGACUCAGCAAGUGCCCUUCAGAACCCAGCCCCUUCAUGGCUGGCUUGCAUUCUGAAUAGUCCAUGCUCUAGCUAUGCAUGAUAUUUAAUGUUGUGAACAUUUCUCCUAAUGACAAUAAUAAUACAAAGGGUGGUUUGGGGGAUAAAAUUAUGUAAUGUGUGCAAAGAACUAGCAUUGGAUAUCCACUGGAUUGGAUGAAGUCCAAAAGAAGUAACAAUGCAUAAUUAAAAUCAGAAAUCUAUGUCAUUUAUUUUUCUCAAAUAAUUUUACUCUAACAAAUACUAAGGUAGAAAACCUCUUUUAGCAUAAACACAUGUGUAUGUAAUUAACAUUUAACUUUAUAAUCAAUGUAAGAUUGCAAUUUUAUUGAUAACAUUUUCAUGAAAUUGGUAUAUGACUCAAACUUACAUACUACUUACAUUGGAUGAUUUAAUUAAUCAAUUUUGUAAAAGGUUUAGAUUCAGAGGACAUGCAGGUUUGUUACAUGAAUAUAUUGCAUCAUGCUGAGGUUUGGGCUUCAGUUGAAAUUGUCACCCAAAUAAUGAACAUAGUACCCGAUAGGUAGUUGUCCAACCCUUGCCCCCUUCCUUCCUCCCCACUUUUGUAGUCUCCAGUGUCUAUUGUUCCCAUCUUUAUGUCUGUACCCAGUGGUUAGGUCCCACUUAUAAGUGAGAACAUGUGGUAUUUGGUUUUCUGUUUCUGUGGUAAUUUACUCAGGAUAGUGGCCUGCAGCUGCAUCCAUGUUGCUGCAAAGGACAUGAUGUAAUUUUUUUGUGGCUGUGUAGUAUUCCAUAUGUAUAUGUACUAUAUUUUUUUAAUUCAAUCCACUGCUAUUGGCACCUAAGUUGACUCCAUGUCUUUGCUGUUGUGAAUAGUGCUGAAGUCAACAAGUGAGUACAGAUGUCUUUUUGGUAGAAUGAUUUAUUUUCCUUUGUGUAUAUACUGAGUAAUGGGAUAGCUGGGCUGAAUGAUGAUUCUAUUUUUAAUUCAUUAAGAAAAGAUGAUUUAAGUUAUAUAUGAUGCUUCCUAUAUUAUUUCUAUAAACAAAUUCUCACAAAGCAUGCCUAAGCUACUGAGGAAAGCUAAACCAACGAAUCCUACCUCUUUACAGUUGCCUAUAUUCUCAACUUCAUUCACUUACUGCGUCUACUCAUUUUAAUAAGUAUUCAUUGAACAAAGAAUAUCUGCCAACCUCUACAGACUAUGUUGGUGGCUAGGCAUGCUUCUAGGCAUCUCCUACGUGUAGUUCCUGACUGCAAGCUGCCUGGAUCUAGGAUGACUUUGGGUUGGUUGUUACUCAGGCUCUCUAUGUUUCAAUUUUCUCAUCUGUGAAAAACAGGAUUAAAUAUAAUCUAUACCUGAUAGCAUUGUACGGAGGACCUACUCAGUUAAUACAUUAAAUUUUUUUAGAAUAAUGCUUUGGCAAAGAGAAAAUAUUCUAUUAAAAUAAGCUAUUUCUUAGAAAAAGUAUUGUCAUUUUAUAGCUCUUUGAGAAGUAUUAAGUGGUUUCACUUUGGGCACUCAAGAGGAUACCUGACUACCAGUGUUUGUAGUGCCCACAUUUUUAAUUUUCAUAAAGGCCGAUAAGUUGUGAAUAAAAAAGGUUCAGCAUAUUUUAAAUAAUUUAGUGUUGACUAGCGUAAUUUCAUUGAAAUAAAUAGAAAACCAUUAUACAACUUCUUAGGAUUAUUAUAUUCUGUGAAUUAAAAUAAAAAUAAUUGAGAUAGGAUGGGGAGUAAUUGAAGAUAGAAUAUAUACCAUUCUAGAUUAAUUUUCUUAACGUUAUUAACCGAGUUUUUAUUAGAAAUGGAGGAAAAAACUCCAGUCUGUGAAAUAUAUGAAAGAUCCCUAUGCAAAGAGAUCUCUUCUUAUGGCAUUAACAGGUGAAAUUCUAUGUGGCCUCUCAAAGAGAGAGAAUCUGAGUUAGAGUGAUAAACUGAAUUGGAACUCUCCUUCUUACCAUCCUGUACCCCCACCCCAACGGAGACUCGGUUUGUCUCCCAGGCUGGAGUGCAAUGGUGCAAUCUCGGCUCACUGCAACCUCCACCUCCCGGGUUCAAGGGAUUCUCAGCCUCUGGAGUAACUGGGAUUACAGGCGCGCGCCACCAUGCCCGGCUGAUUUUUUUCUUUGUAUUUUUAGUAGAGAUGGGGUUUCACCAUGUUGGCCUGGCUGGACUCCAACUCCUGACCUUGUGAUCUGCCCGCCUCGGCCUUCCAGAGUGCUGGGAUUACAGGCCUGAGCCACCGCGCCCGGCCGGAAUUCUCCUUCUUUAAAAAGAACCAGGCUUCUUGAGUAUGAGAAAGAAUAGGCUCAGAAGAAUUGGACAGUGGCACAAAAUAGAGGAAAAAGAUUGCCAGUUGCAAUGAAGAGUAUGUGACAGCAGAAAGUAGAAAAACAUGUGAUAAGUGACAUGGAGGAUGCCAGAAAAAUGAAAAGCAUCAUAGGAAGUGAAAAUAACAACUUUGUAAGAACUAGAAUGCGAAGAAAUAACAAAGAGAGAAAGGAUGGAAGAGUGAUUGUAGAAUCUGUGGAAACAGGAAGUACUGUAGUAAAAGACAUUGGUACAAAGCACAGGGCUGAGCUUAAGGUAUAAGUGAGAAUUUUCAGACAGAAGAGAUACACAAAUCAAGGAAUAAAACAAAGGAAAAAAUCUAAGAAAACAAAAGAUGGUAAAGCAAUGCUUUAUUGGAGUCAACUAUUAGAAGUCUGUCCAUUUCUUUUUUCCUUCUUUUUUUAUUUUUUAUUUUUUGAGACGGAGUCUCUCUCUGUCACCCAGGCUGGAGUGCAGUGGCGCAAUCUCGGCUCACUGCAAGCUCCGCCUCCCGGGUUGACGCCAUUCUCUUGCCUCAGCCUCCCGAGUAGCUUGGACUGCAAGCACACGCCACCACGCCCGGCUAAUUUCUUUUGUAUUUUAGUAGAGACGGGGUUUCACGUGUUGCCCAAACUGGUCUGGAACUCGUGAGCUCAAGCAAUCCACCUGCCUCGGCCUCCCAAAGUGCUAGGAUUACAGGCAUGAGCCACCACGCCCGGCCAAGUCUGUCCAUUUCUACCAAAUCUUAGAUUCCUUUAAUAUUUUAAUAAAUUUAUUAUUUGUUCUUUUAAAAGAUGACAUAUAUUAGCAUUGUACACUAAUUUUUUCAGCUUGAGAAGCAUUCUUUCUAGGUUAAUCAAUUGUUUACUUGUUGAAACACUACGCUAUUAAACAAGCAAUUAUUCCAUUAUUUUAAACAAAUAUGUUAAUCGCCUCCUAAGGUCACCUUUUCAGAGUAUUACUAGGAGUGAUUACAAGAUUAAAUAAUUAAAAAAAAAGCCAAGAAUAUGCAAAUGAAAUUUACAUUAAUUACCUUGCAAUGACAAGGAUGAAUAGUUUUAUUCAUAAAUCAGAAAUCAUUCCUGAGCUAGCAAUCCACCAUUGACACUUACUGUCAUAGUAUUUCUAAAGUGGCAUUUAAAAAGAUCAUUGCUAUCAGGUAUGCAUAUUUUUUAUGUAUAGACAUAUAUUAUUAACUCAGCCUUUGAAAAUACACUUACAUCAAGUGAUAUACCUACAACACACAGUUAUUGAGUUCUUUCUGUUGUCUAGAUAUUAGUUGAGUCUUUAAGAAUACAAAGAAAAUAAAACUAAGUCAUUCAUGCUAACAAGCUUCUGGUUUAAUGAGACAGAUAUCUAAAGCAACUCCACUACAAUAUCUGUCUUUGCUAUCACAGUUUGGUCAGUGUAAGACAAGUGAAGGUGAAGAGAAAGAAAUAAGAAAGGCUUUUAAAGUAGGUGUUCUUUAAACAGGGCCUUAAGGUAUACAUAUGGGAGGGCUAAAUUAUUCCUCAUAAAAGAAGGAGCAAGUAGAGGUCAUUAUAGGCAGCAAACCCAGAAACAUUAUACAUAAAACAAAUGGGUCAGCCAAACACAAGAGAAUUUGUAAAUUUCUAAGAUCUCAAAGUUCUAUUUUGCUUUCAUUUAGGUUUAUAUCAUUACCCAACAGGAAAAAUUAAAGGACUAAGAAUAUGAAGUCACCAGCCACACAGUAAUAUAAUUAAUCCUGAAGCAUAAAAUAACUUUUUAUCUCUCUUAAAUAUUCACUGGUACCGUUGCAUAUUAAAAAUGCAAAAGAUGCUACAUCUGACCAAGAUCUAUGUAAACUAAACUUAGGGAAAAUAAUAGAUUUUAUCAUUAUUUUAAAUGAAAAGUUUUUAAAUUGUUAUGCUGAGUUACAUUUACUCCAAUGGUCAGAUUGACAACACACACACACACACACACACACACACACACACACACACAUAUCACUUCAUACACAAAAUUUGUCAGCCAAAAGGUAAACUUGAACCUCUCCAAAAAUAGUUUUGUUCAACACACAGCUAUUGAGUAUAUGGUUUAUGUGUGUUUCACUGGUAGGCGCUAAAGAUAGGCAUGAACUCAGAUAAAAUGCUACUUCUUCCUGUUCUACAAAGAAAACAGCCCAUAGAAAGCUGUAUUAGAAGAUAAUGCAUAUGUAUAAGGGACAUAAUGAUAAUAAUUAAGUUGGGAAAAGGGUAGCACUAGGGGAUGUUUUCAGAAGCUGUGUUUGCAUAGCAAACUUGUCAUUUGUACUUAUAAUACAUGCUUAUUUUGGAAAAGGGAACUUUGGAGAGACUGGUGGGGGUUUAUUUAUGGGGCUAAUGUCACCCCUUGGUGACAUCAUUAACUAUAAUCAAAACACUUGCUUAGGAAAAAAAGUCAAAGAAAAACUUUCAUUGGAAUUUCAUUCACCAAGCCUAGGACAAAUCCAAUUAAAAGGAUCCCCUGGUGAAAUGUUGGCUAGGCAAAACACAAACGCCUGAUAUAAUUCUACUAAAGAAGACUCCAGUUUGGACACGGAAACAUAAAUGUCCAGCAAAAUUAUUGUGAGAGACAAUAAUAUGCAAUUUAUUGGGAAUCUCUAGGAAUAGAGAGGUUACUAGAAAUAAAUGAAUGAAACACUGAAGACUACUUAUCUUUCUUUAUCUAAGAAUCAUGUAGGAGAUGCCUCACAGUUAAAGUCCUUAAGUAUAGAGAUUACAAAUACAAUUCAUUGUUUACAGUUCAAAAGUUUUAUGCAAAAUAUGUGAGAAAUAUAAGCUACUCUAAUAAACCAGACAGGGCCCUAGAUGAGGAGUAAGAUUUCAAGAAAGAAUGCCAAAAUGAGCUAAAUGAAUGUCGCAGAGACCAAGUCAUGUUGAACUGUUCAUCCCAAAAGCUAACAGACUAUUCCAACAAACUCUAGCAUACGUAUCAACUGUACACUAUGGAGGAACAGAGCAACUGUCUUGAAGUAAACAUAAAUUUUCUGUUCCCACUUUCAAGUAUAGUAAAGGUUAUUAUGCUAAUGUUUUAAUGAAUUUUAGCAGUUUGGUGCAGACAUACUUCAGUAGCUCCAUAGCCUUUGCUUAAUGAUAGAUCACAGUCCCUACCUAGCAAACAGACUUUUGCCUUAGAUAAUCUGAACAAUAAAUUUGUGCAAUUUAGAGCUCGAAAGACUAGCAGAAACUAAGAAAUUGCAAUAUACUUGUAUAUCUUAUCUUGUGGCCUGGAGUUCAUAUUGCCUUUCUCUGCAGAAGGUAAUAGACUGAUUAGCAAUCCAGCAGAGUUCAACAGUUGUCCUGUUUAGGGGAGGGUAAUUGCGUGGUUAACAGAAAAUAGUUUUGUUGCUAGGAAACAAAGAAUGUUAUUACUACAAGUGAGGUUUUAACAUAUGGAAAUAGUCCUCUAAGUUCUACAGUAAAUUCUUAUUAAAUGAUUGGAUUUUUAAAUUUGUUCUUGUUUUUCUUCUUAAAAGUAAAAGUAAAUUUAUCAUGCGAGUUUCCCACCUGGGGCAUAAAUGUCAUCUCUCUCUCUCUAUCUCUCGUGUAACUGAGAUUAAUGUCCAUCAUUUUUCCUUUUUGUGGGAAUACUUAUGGCAAUACAUGGCAUACUUUCUGAAAAAAAAAAAAAAACAUUUCAGCUUAAGGUUUAGAAGUACUUUUGCUUUUAAUUUUCCUUCUGAAUGCUAUUUGCCAUUUAGCAAACACUUACCAAGCUGUAUUGUGUUACACGUACUGACCUGAGCAUUGUAGGGGAUACUCUAGCUUCUGCUUUUAGCUUAACUUGGGAGAUAAGACUUGAUGUAGCAGAGAUGCAGAGAAAGAGCCAUGGCAGGAGGGAGAGAUUACUUUCAGUUGAACAAUCAGGAAAAACUUCAGGGUGGAUAUUGCAUUUGUGUGGGGGCUUAAAGAAUGAAUAGUUUAAGUAUUUGGAAAGAAGAGGAAUAAGAAAUGGGUACAAUUACAGGUAGAAGGCGCAAUGUAAACAAUGGCCCCAAAGCAGGAGACAUAGUAUAUGUUCUCAAAUUGACAAGUUUUGAUUGCUCGGCCAGCUUGUGACUCCUUCUUUGGACAUACAGCCUACCUGGAAUCAUUCUAUUAGUUGCCCAGCUGCCAAUCAGAGUCUGCCUUUUAAAUCUUAGAACUAAGAAACAAAGUUCCAGCAGUAGGAUGGUAGAGAUCCUAGAAAUAUCACCUGAAAUCGGGACAGUGGAAGCUAUAUUUGAUGCAUUUGCUACUGAGAAGCAAAAAAAGCUUUGAGAAAUUGCUUCAAUCUUUGAUAGGUUCCCAAGACUCAUCUCCAGGUUUCAUAGGAUGUAAUUAUUUAGUUCUAUUUAAAGAUCUUGUGUCUUUUCAACAGACUUUCCUUUAUUUUAAUUAGCUUGCACAGGUUUCUGUUCCUUGUAUUCAGCAUCUUAACUAAAAUAUUAGAAUGAAAUGUUGAAUGCAGUUUGAUUAGAACCAAGAGGGCCUCAAGCAAAUCAGUGGGAACCCUUUGUGAAGGUAAAUGCAUCUUAAAUUAUUGAAUUCUCUGAUUCCAAUCAGUUUUUCUACUCUGGGAACAAUAAAAUAAAGUUUUUGAGCAAGACAGUGGUGAAAUAAUCAGAGCUAUAUUCUUGAAAAAUUAACAACUUGAAUAUGCAGAGUAAAUUAAGGGAAGAGGGUCAAAUAGACUAGUAAACUAAAUAGGAAGUCCUAGCCAACACAAUCAGGCAAAAGAAAGAAAUAAAACUCAUCCAAAUAGGAAAACAAGAACUCAAAUUAAUGAUCUUGCUUGUCUGAUGAUAUGAUUUUUUACCUAGAAAACUCCAAAGACACCACCAAAAGGCUCCUAAGAUUGAUUAAUGACUUCAGCAAUGUUUCAGGAUACAAAUUCAUCAUACAAAAAACUAGUAGCAUUUCUACACAGCAAGAAUAUUCAAGCUAAGGGCAAAAUCAAGAAUGCAAUUCCAUUUACAAUACAUACACACACACUGCCCAGGAUACAUAUAACAAAGGAGGUAAAACACCUUUACAAGAAAAACUACACAACACUGCUGAAAUCAUAGAUGACACAAACAAAUGGAAAAAUAUUCCAUGCUCAUGGAUUGAAACAAUUAAUAUUAAAAUGUCAUACUGCCCAAUGCAACGUACAUAUUCAAAUAUAUAGCUAUCACACUACCAACAUAAUUUUUUAAAGAAUUUGAAAACAUUAUUCUAAAAUUCAUGUGAGACCAGAAAAGAUCCCAAAUAGCCAAAGCAAUCCUAAGCAAAACGAACAAAGCUGAGGGCAUCAUAUGAUGCAACUUCAGACUUUACUGUAAGGCUGUAGUAACCAAAACAGCAGAGUACUGGCACAAAAACAGACACAUAGACCAAUGGAACAGAAUAGAGAACCCAGAAGUAAAGUCACACACUUACAGCCACCUGAUCUUCAACAGAGUUGACAAAAAUAAACAAUGGCUAAAGGACUCCCUGUUUAAUAGAUGGUGCUGGGAUAGCUGGCUAGCUAUAUGUGAAGAAUGAAACUGGGCCCCUACCUCUCACUGUAUACAAAAAGUAACUCAAGGUGAAUUAAAGAUCUGAGUGUAAGACCUCAAACUAUAAAAACCUUGGAAGAAAACUUAGGAAACGCCAUUCUGGACAUAGGCCUUAGCAAGGAAGUUAUGAGUAAGCCCUCAAAAGCAAUUGCAACAGAAAGGAAAAUAGACAAUUGGGACCUAAUUAAACCAAAGAGCUUCUGCACAGCAAAAGAAGCUAUCAACAGAGUAAACAACCUACACAGUGGGAGAAAAUAUUCAAAAACUGCAUCCAACAAAGGUCUAAUAUCCAGAAUCUAUAAGGAACUUAAACAACUCAAAUAGUAAAACAAUAAGUAAUUCCAUUAAAAAGUGGGCAAAGGACAUGAACAGACACUUUUUGAAAGACAUACAAGCAGCCAACAAACAUGAAAAAAUGUUCAACAUCAGUAAUUAUCAGAGAUAUGCAAAUUAAAACCACAAUGAGAUUCCAUCUCACUUCAGCCAGAAUGGCUGUUAUAAAAAAAGACAAAAAAAAAAUAACAGAGGCUGGUGAGGCUGCAGAGAAAAGGGAAUGUUCAUAUCCUGUUGAUGGGAAUAUAAAUCAGUUCAGUCACUGUGGUAUGCAGUUUUGGAAAUUUCUCAAGGAACUAAAAACAGAACCACCAUUUGACCGAGCAAUCUCAUUACUGGGUAUAUACCUGAAGGAAAAUAAAUCAUUCCACCAAAAAGGCACACGUGCACUCGUGUGUUUAUUGCAGCACUAAUUACAGUAGCACAGACAUGAAAUCAACAUAGGUGCCCAUCAAUGAUGGAUUUGAUAUCGAAAGUGUGUUACACGUACACCAUGCAAUACUAAAUAGCCAUAAAAGGAAUGAAAUUAUGUCUUUUGUAGCAGCAUGGAUGCAGCUGGAGGCCAUUAUUCUAAAUGAAUUAACUCAGUAACAGAAAACCAGAUAUCACAUGUUCACACUUAUAAGUGGAAGCUAAACAUUGGGUUCACAUGGACAUAAAGAUGGGAGCAAUAAACACUGGGGACUACUGGAAGGGGGAGAGUGGGAGUGGGGAAAGGGCUGUAAAACUACCUAUUGGGUACUAUGCUCACCAACUGGGUGACUGGAUUAUUCAUAUUCCAAACCUCAGUUUCAUGUAAUAUACCCAUGUAACAAACCUGCAUUAGUAUUCCCUGAAUCUAAAAUAAAACUUGAAAUUAUAAAAAAAUAGUUAAUAUUUUCAUGACUUUUAAAAAAAGAGACUUGAUAGGUGAUGUGAAUUAGAGCGAUGACAGCAGGAAGAAGGCUUUUAGUGGAAGUAUAAUUUUCUUAGCGAAGCAACUGCUUAGAUAACAAAAUUAAAAGAGGAGUGAAUAAAGAAUACCGUAAGCAGUUAUUGCUUAAAUGACUGUCAGAGAAGGAGGGACUUAGAGAUUUAAAUUUAGUAAUUAAUUUAAUGCAGGUAACAUUUUGGACCUUAGGAUGAGAAGACAUCAAUAAGUAAUGUAGUAUAGAGAGUUAUGGGGAUAGGGAGUUGACAACAAAAUCUGAAACCUUGAGGGAUGCCUACAUUUUAGAAACAAAAUGACAAAAAUGAAAAACCAGAUUAGUAAGAAGGAUAUUUGGAAAAAUAAAAAAGUUAAUAAUGUAAAGUUAAUGUAACAUAAGUCUAGUGUUUUUUGAAGCCAGGUUAAGGAGAUAAGAAAAAGGCCAUAGGACACAGAAGGAGAAAAUCGUUGGUGAAAUUGUGUCAGUAUAAUUUCAAAUGAAAUGGGAGACAAUAAAGGGAAUACUAUAUUCCCAAGAUAUUUGAUAGUAAAGAAAGGGAAUAUAGUUGCUUGAAGGAGAGUAAGUUCAAGAAAAGAUAUAGAAGCACGA
rnacentral:lncRNA from 1 species